CAAUAUAUACGUAGAUCAAAUCAUUACGUUGUACACGUUAAACUUAUACAAUGUUAAAUGUCAGUUAUGACU